rnacentral:rRNA from 1 species
UACGAAGGGGGCUAGCGUUGCUCGGAAUGACUGGGCGUAAAGGGCGCGUAGGCGGUUCGUACAGUCAGACGUGAAAUUCCCGGGCUCAACCUGGGGGCUGCGUUUGAUACGUGCGGGCUUGAGUUCGGAAGAGGGUCGUGGAAUUCCCAGUGUAGGAGGUGAAAUUCGUAGAUAUUGGGAAGAACACCGGUGGCGAAGGCGGCGACCUGGUCCGAUACUGACGCUGAGACACGAAAGCGUGGGUAGCAAACAGG